AAUAGAUACCCUGGUAGUCCACGCCGUAAACGAUGAGUGCUAAGUGUUAGGGGGUUUCCGCCCCUUAGUGCUGCAGCUAACGCAUUAAGCACUCCGCCUGGGGAGUACGGUCGCAAGACUGAAACUCAAAGGAAUUGACGGGGGCCCGCACAAGCGGUGGAGCAUGUGGUUUAAUUCGAAGCAACGCGAAGAACCUUACCAGGUCUUGACAUCCCAUUGACCGCUAUGGAGACAUGGCUUUCCCUUCGGGGACAGUGGUGACAGGUGGUGCAUGGUUGUCGUCAGCUCGUGUCGUGAGAUGUUGGGUUAAGUCCCGCAACGAGCGCAACCCUUGUUCUUAGUUGCCAUCAUUUAGUUGGGCACUCUAAGGAGACUGCCGGUGACAAACCGGAGGAAGGUGGGGAUGACGUCAAAUCAUCAUGCCCCUUAUGACCUGGGCUACACACGUGCUACAAUGGACGGUACAAACGGUUGCCAACCCGCGAGGGGAGCUAAUCCGAUAAAACCGUUCUCAGUUCGGAUUGUAGGCUGCAACUCGCCUAC
rnacentral:rRNA from 1 species